rnacentral:rRNA from 1 species
UACGAAGGGGGCUAGCGUUGCUCGGAAUGACUGGGCGUAAAGGGCGCGUAGGCGGAUUGUACAGUCAGGCGUGAAAUUCCUGGGCUCAACCUGGGGGCUGCGUUUGAUACGUAUGGUCUUGAGUGGGGAAGAGGGUCGUGGAAUUCCCAGUGUAGAGGUGAAAUUCGUAGAUAUUGGGAAGAACACCGGUGGCGAAGGCGGCGACCUGGUCCUUGACUGACGCUGAGGCGCGAAAGCGUGGGGAGCAAACAGG